AUGUCUAUUUUGAAUGACAGUACUACCAAUUCUACAUAAUAAAACCCCUCUCUCUUCCGUUGUCAUCUCCCUUCCCUAGUUUCUUCUCCUUCCUGCUACAUUCCUUCCCCCUUUCCUUCUCCUCUCCUCCUUCUUUCCUUCUUCUUCUCCCCUUCUCCUUUUCCCUUUCUUCUCCAUCACUCUCUCCAUGACAGUUGCCAAUCUCAUCUCCCUGUCUUCUCUCUCUAGUAUGACAACACAAGAUUUAUGCCAAACACCAAAAAUGUCUCGCUUUCCCACUCCCGUUUUCUAUCGCGUGUAAGGGAUUUUGCUUAUAUGAGGUAAUUAGUGAGGGAUUUUGUUUUAAUUUUUUCAAGUUAACUAAAAAUUUGUAGUUCCCUAAUUUUAUUAUGGUUUUGUAGUUUUUGUUCAAUUCAAUCUAUUUUUAUGACUAAUUUGCUAAUUAUCAGAUUUCUCAUACUUUGUUCUGUUUAAACCAUAUUUAUUUUAUCUAAUUUGUUAAUAUUUAGUGAUGUUUUUGGCAUCAAUUGUUGUUGAAAUUUUGUUAAUUCAUGUUUUCUCAUGUGAUGGACUGUUGUUCUGCAGUGAACAGCAUCAAAAGAAGAAGGGGAAAAGAGGAGAAGGGGGAAGGGGAAAGGAGAAAGGUAGCACCGACAGAAGAAGGGGAAGAAAAGAAGAAAGGGAAAAGAAGGUGGGAAAAAGGAAAAGUCAUCAUUAUGUUUUCUUUUAUUUUGUUGUAUAAACACUUUGUAUAAUGAGAUAUAUUGUUGAAGAACGUUACCAAUGGAAGCAUUUAUGUCCGAUAUGGAUUUUAUUUUAUUUAAAAAAAAAUUAGCAUGGGUGUCGGAUAAAGGAGCAUUUUUGUUUAUUUUUUAUUUUUAUUCAAAACAUAAAUUUAGUUUUUAUAAUUUUUAUUAUGUCGGUUAUAUGUGACAGCAUUGUCUCUAUAUUCGACGAGAUUUCUCAACAAUUAAUAUCGCCUAUAACUAUCGGGAGUGUUAAUUUCACUUAUAUCCGACACUAUUUUCUUGUCGAUUUUAGAGUCAUAACUAACAGUAAAGCCUUUUCCUGACGCCAGCAAUUCUGUCGCUUCUCUUAU
rnacentral:lncRNA from 1 species